rnacentral:rRNA from 1 species
AACGAACGCUGGCGGCAUGCCUAACACAUGCAAGUCGAACGAGACCUUCGGGUCUAGUGGCGCACGGGUGCGUAACGCGUGGGAACCUGCCCUUAGGUUCGGAAUAACUCCCCGAAAGGGGUGCUAAUACCGGAUAAUGUCUUCGGACCAAAGAUUUAUCGCCUUUGGAUGGGCCCGCGUUGGAUUAGCUAGUUGGUAGGGUAAAAGCCUACCAAGGCGACGAUCCAUAGCUGGUCUGAGAGGAUGAUCAGCCACACUGGGACUGAGACACGGCCCAGACUCCUACGGGAGGAAGAAGUGGGGAAUAUUGGACGAUGGGCGAAAGCCUGAGCCAGCAAUGCCGCGUGAGUGAUGAAGGCCUUAGGGUUGUAAAGCUCUGUUAACCGGGAUGAUAAUGACAGUACCGGGAGAAUAAGCGCCGGCUAACUCCGUG